GGCUAUGAAAGGAUUAACACUGAACUGUUUAGGAAAAAAAGAAGAAGCGUAUGAAUUUGUUCGUAAAGGACUUCGUAAUGAUGUCAAGAGUCAUGUCUGUAUCCUUUUGCAGUAGUUGAAUAGUUUAAUUUCAUUUAUGUAUUUUCCAUUUACUAGUUUUUUCUUACUCAAAUUAAAAAACACUUUACUAUAAAAAAAUUUAAAAUUAUGUGAAAGAGUGAAUUUAAUGAACUCUGUAUACCCAUUAUCCAGUUUCAAUAAUUAUCAACAUUUUUAAUAAUUAGUUUCAUCUGUUCCCUACUCCUUGUUUUCUGUUUAUUGGAGUAUUUUAAAGAGAAUUCCUGUGCGCUGUAUAUUUACUGCAGUUGUGCUUAGUGUGAGAGAAAAGUAACUUUGAUAAUUAUAUGUGACUUAAAACCCAUUGUUUUUUUCCUAUAUAUCCAUAAACUGAGGAUACUUUCCCCAUUCCAAACAAUGACUUACCUGUUAUAGUACUUACCUGUGUAGUAAAAUCUAUGGUCCUUAAAAGUUUCUUAAACUUUCCUUUAGAAAUUUUAGAAGAAAAAUCCAGAAGAAACUUGUUGUAAAAUAGAUUUUAUUUAGUAUUAAAUGUUAUAUUAUAUUGGUUCUUCAGCUUGGUUUCUAUUGCACAGGGACUUAGCUGUUACCUCACUGGAUACUUAUAAUCAUAUUUUUCCUUGGCUAGUAUCCCAGUUUGUAAAAAAACAAAAAUACUCUUUAGGGAUGGGUCAUUGAAAUUAUUUUAAUUUCUAUUUUACCUGUUUAUAUACUUAUUGACAACCAUAUCACAUAUUGUCCUUGUAUCUUAAAUUUUUACAUUUAAAUCAUCCAGCUAUUGGCCAGUAUUGAACAUCAGUAGUCUUAGUGGUGUUUUUACAUAUUUAGCUUAGGGUUCUCUCAAAAUACUAAAUACUUAUUUCUUUAUCCUGGUGCUUACCCCAGAGCGAAGAGAGAGGGCAUGUAAGUAUGAUAGUUUCUUUUUGGCUCCAAGAUAUGCUAAGACUUUAAUACAUUAAAUAAAAACUUAAUUUUUGUGGUCUUUAAUAUCACUAGUGAGUUAACGGAUGGUUGCAUAUUAUUUUAUAAUCAAUUGAAUAUAUACUUGUUUUAAAAGAUAAUUGCAGUUUUUGAAUAUGUUGUGUUUCCAUACGUAGUGUUUGAGAGUGAAUGUUGAGGUGCUGGCGUAGGAAAGUGAGGGGAUGGAGAUCCAAAUGAGAGACCUUGAAGGUUAUCGAGAGACAAGAUAUCAGCUUCUUCAGUUGCGCCCAACACAACGUGCUUCCUGGAUUGGAUAUGCUAUUGCAUAUCACUUACUGAAAGAUUAUGAUAUGGCACUAAAACUACUGGAAGAAUUUAGACAAACUCAGCAAGUUCCUCCCAACAAAGUAGACUAUGAAUAUAGUGAACUGAUACUGUACCAGAAUCAAGUAAUGAGGGAGGCAGCUCUAUUUCAGGAAUCUUUGGAACAUAUAGAAACAUAUGAGAAACAAAUAUGUGAUAAACUUUUGGUGGAAGAAAUUAAAGGGGAAAUGCUGUUGAAAUUGGGAAGAUUAAAAGAAGCGAGUGAAGUAUUCAGAAACUUAAUUGAUCGGAAUGCAGAAAAUUGGUGCUAUUAUGAAGGCUUGGAAAAAGCUCUACAACUUAGCACUUUAGAAGAGAGGCUUCAAAUUUAUGAAGAAAUUAGUAAGCAGCACCCCAGAGCAAUUUCACCUAGAAGAUUACCUUUGAAUCUUGUCCCAGGUGAAAAAUUUAGAGAACUAAUGGAUACGUUCCUGAGGGUUAACUUCAGUAAAGGCUGCCCACCCUUGUUUACUACUUUGAAAUCUUUAUAUUACAAUACAGAAAAGAUUUCUAUAAUCCAGGAGCUUGUUACUAAUUAUGAAGCCUCUCUUAAAACGUGUGACUUUUUUAGCCCUUAUGAGAAUGGGGAGAAAGAACCCCCAACGACACUACUCUGGGUUCAGUAUUUCCUGGCACAGCACUUUGAUAAACUUGGGCAGUAUUCUUUGGCUUUGGAUUAUAUUAAUGCUGCAAUUGCUAGUACUCCAACUCUAAUAGAAUUAUUCUAUAUGAAAGCAAAAAUUUACAAGCAUAUAGGUAAUCUCAGAGAAGCUGCCAAGUGGAUGGAUGAAGCUCAGUCUUUAGACACAGCUGAUAGAUUCAUCAACUCCAAAUGCGCAAAAUAUAUGCUUCGAGCAAAUAUGAUAAAAGAAGCAGAGGAAAUGUGUUCCAAGUUCACAAGGGAAGGAACAUCUGCCAUGGAAAAUCUCAAUGAAAUGCAGUGUAUGUGGUUUCAAACAGAAUGCAUUUCAGCUUAUCAGCGUUUGGGAAGAUACGGGGAUGCUUUGAAAAAAUGCCAUGAAGUAGAAAGGCAUUUUUUUGAGAUAACCGAUGAUCAAUUUGACUUCCAUACUUACUGCAUGAGAAAGAUGACCCUUCGUGCUUACGUUGACCUUUUGAGAUUAGAAGAUAUACUCAGAAGACAUGCCUUCUAUUUCAAGGCCGCUAGAUCAGCUAUUGAAAUAUACUUGAAAUUGUAUGAUAAUCCCUUGACCAAUGAAAGCAAACAACAAGAAAUAAAUUCAGAAAACCUGUCAGCCAAAGAACUGAAGAAAAUGCUUAGUAAGCAGAGAAGAGCUCAAAAAAAGGCAAAAUUAGAAGAAGAGAAAAAGCAUGUGGAAAGGGAACGACAACAAAAAAAUCUAAAGAAAAAACGGGAUGAUGAGGAAGAAGAAACCAGUGGUCUCAAAGAAGAACUUAUACCUGAAAAAUUAGAAAGGAUAGAAAAUCCAUUAGAAGAAGCUAUCAAGUUUCUUAUACCUCUUAAGAACCUUGUUGCUGACAACAUUGACACUCAUCUAUUAGCAUUUGAAAUAUAUUUUAGAAAAGGAAAGUUUCUGUUAAUGCUGCAGUCUGUCAAACGAGCUUUUGCCAUCAACAGGAAUAACCCAUGGUUACAUGAAUGUUUAAUUAAGUUUUCUAAAUCUGUGUCAAAUCAUAGUAAUCUUCCAGACGUUGUGAGCAAAGUUCUGUCUCAAGAAAUGCAGAAAAUAUUUGUUAACAAGGAUUUGGAAAGUUUUAAUGAGGAUUUUCUCAAACAUAAUGCUACCUCUCUUCAGCAUCUACUUUCAGGUGCUAAAAUGAUGUAUUUUCUGGACAAGUCCAGGCAAGAGAAAGCAAUUGCUAUUGCCACUAGACUGGAUGAAACUAUAAAAGAUAAAAAUGUAAAGACUUUAAUAAAGGUUUCUGAGGCACUGCUUGAUGGCAGCUUUGGGAACUGUAAUUCCCAGUACGAAGAAUACAGGAUGGCCUGUCAUAACCUGCUUCCUUUUACUUCUGCUUUCCUGCCUGCUGUGAGUGAAGUCGGCAGUCAUAGCACAGCUCUAAACCACACAGCUAACUGUGAUGUCUUGAAGCGGCAUGCGGGGUCUUAGUUCCCCGAACCUGUGCCCCCUGGAUUGGAAGCUCGGAGUCCUAACCACUGGACAGCCAGGGAAUUCCCCACAAAGAGAGUCUUUUAUCUUCGAAAAACAUCAAUGAAAAUUGUUAAAGCCCUUGAGAGAGUCUCAUUUUUGCCAGGGAAGUGAAGGUUCACAGCAUCUGGCUCAGUAUUUGGUCCAGCUCUCCGAGAGUCAGCCGUGAAGAGGCAGGUUUGGGAAGAUAACUCACUGUGGUCCACAGGUGACUCAGAAUGGAAGCCAGAUGCUACAACAUGGCAGAACCUUGAGGACAUUCUGCUAAGUGAAAAAACCCAGACAUAAAAGGACAAAUAUUGUAUGAUUUACUUGUAUGAGAUACCUAAACUAGUCAAGUUCAUAGAAACAGAAAGUGAAAUAGAGCUUCCUGGGGCUGUGGGGAGAAGUGAAUGGGGAGUUAGUGUUGGGCACAGAGUUUCAGUUUGGGGUGAUGAAAAAGUUCUGGGGAAGGAUGGUGGUGAUGGUUGGACAGCAGAAUGAAUGCACUUAAUGCCACUUAACAAUAUACUUAAAAACAGUUAAGAUGGUAAAUUCUACAUUAUGUGUAUUUUACCACAAUUAAAAUGGAAAGAAUGGAUCUAGAGAUUGAUAACAUAAUUAGGUAUGGUCAGUGCUCAAGGGAUCCCAUGGAAUGGGAGGGAGUGCAGGAUGGGUUCUGUCAGUUAUGUGAUAUAAGGUGGGGAUCUGUGGUCAAAGGUGGUUGGAUUUCUUCUGUUACUUUACAUUUCCCAGCUGUAUCCCUCAGUGGAUCUAGAAGAACAGACCAGAAAGCAUCCUCACACACUAAACGAACGAACCAAACAAACAUGGCAUAAUUGUACUUGGAAUACAGCAAGCUUUUGCGUUUGCUAGAUUUGAAGGAAAGGUCUAGCAAAGCUCUUUCUCACCUGGCUCCAUGUCUUCAGAUGUGAUGACUGCUGUCACUGAAACCAGGGUGAUUUUGUGAGGCACAGCCUCUAAACCAGUGAGAGUUCCAGAACUUUCUUGGUUUGGGAUUCUUCUGAGCAUCUGAUGACAAAUAUCAACUUUCUUACCUGAAAAAUCCACACAUACACAUCCAGUCACGGCUCCAGUAAGGAGUUUGUGGACCUAGGGUUACACACGCCUGCUUUAGACGCUGAAUAAUUUUAUCUAGGCAUUUGCCUGCUAUGUCAGCCUGCCAGCCGUUGCCACCAGGUCAGUGUAGGCGCCAAUUAGGCCCUUGCUCAUAGGUGCUCCUAGAAGCUUACAGUCUGGAAGAAGACAUGCACAAUAUUGGUUGGGAUUUCCAAGUUUUAAGUGACAAAAAUCUAACCUAACAAGCUUAAGCUAAAAGUCAAUAUAUUGGGUAUUCAUUGCAGCACUAUUUACAAUAGCCAGGACAUGGAAGCAACCUAAAUGUCCAUCAACAGAUGAAUGGAUAAAAAAGAUGUGGUACAUAUAUACAAUGGAAUAUUACUCAGCUGUAAAAAGCAAUGAAACUGGGACAUUUGUAGAGGCAUGGAUGGACCUAGAGACUGUCAUACAGAGUAAAGUGAGUCAGAAGGAGAAAAACAAAUAUUGUAUAUUAACACGUAUAUGCAAGAUAUAGAAAAAUGGUACAAAUCAACUGGUUUGCAAGGUGGAAACAGAGACACAGAUGUAGAGAACAAACAUAUGGACACCAAGAGGGGAAAGCGGGGAGGGUUAGGGGUGAAUGAACUGGGAGAUUGGGAUACCAAAUUGUACACUCUAAAUAUAUG